AUUGAACGCUGGCGGCAGGCUUAACACAUGCAAGUCGAGCGAGCGGCGGACGGGUGAGUAAUGUCUGGGAAACUGCCCGAUGGAGGGGGAUCACUACUGGAAACGGUAGCUAAUACCGCAUACCAUCAGAUGUGCCCAGAUGGGAUUAGCUAGUAGGUGGGGUAAUGGCUCACCUAGGCGACGAUCCCUAGCUGGUCUGAGAGGAGGACCAGCGACACUGGAAAUGGGACACGGUCCAGACUCCUACGGGAGGCAGCAGUGGGGAAUAUUGCACAAUGGGCGCAAGCCUGAUGCAGCCAUGCCGCGUGUGUGAAGAAGGCCUUCGGGUUGUAAAGCACUUUCAGCGAGGAGGCGUUACUCGCAGAAGAAGCACCGGCUAACUCCGUGCCAGCAGCCGCGGUAAUAG
rnacentral:rRNA from 1 species